rnacentral:sRNA from 1 species
CCCCAUUCGUAUCUAGUAUAGGAAGUGUGAAAAGUUACGCCUUUGGAGAUGUGAUGUGUGAGAGAGAAUGCGUUGGAGCUUAAACUCUGUAAAAUCUC